rnacentral:rRNA from 1 species
CUACGGGACGCAGCAGUGAGGAAUAUUGGUCAAUGGGCGCAAGCCUGAACCAGCCAUCCCGCGUGGAGGAAGACGGCCCUAUGGGUUGUAAACUUCUUUUCAAGGGGAAGAAUUGUCCCGACGUGUCGGGGCUUGCCGGUACCUUUGGAAUAAGCAUCGGCUAACUCCGUGCCAGCAGCCGCGGUAAUACGGAGGAUGCGAGCGUUAUCCGGAUUUAUUGGGUUUAAAGGGUGCGUAGGCGGAUCGGUAAGUCGGCGGUGAAAUGCCAUGGCUCAACUAUGGAAUUGCCGUUGAUACUGUCGGUCUUGAAUAUGGUCAAGGUAGGCGGAAUGUGUAAUGUAGCGGUGAAAUGCUUAGAUAUUACACAGAACACCGAUUGCGAAGGCAGCUUGCUGGGCCAGAAUUGACGCUGAGGCACGAAAGCGUGGGGAUCGAACAGGAUUAGAUACCCGGGUAGUC